rnacentral:lncRNA from 1 species
CACUUCUCUGAUCAUAUAAGGUCGAGAAGAGUACCUGGAUAUCGAAAUAAAGUAAAAUAGAGUAAGGGCUCAACACAACAAAACUAACGAGAAUAACAGCAAAUCAACAAUAAUCAACCUUUCUUCAAACCAUAUUUUAACCAAGAAAACAAGCAGAGAAUUUCUAAAGUUUUGCUAAAAAAAGAACGAGAGAUAAUCCAGCAAUGCAGAAAACUUUGUAUUUUUUUAGGGCUCAGAUCUCUGUGUGUUUUUUGAACUUUUUGUGCAGAGGAAAUGCUGAUGAUCUGUGUGUGUGAGUAAGGGAAUGUUUUCCUUUUAUAGAGUGCACAAAACGGCAUCAAAAAGGAAUAUUCUAACCUAAAAAUUCUAAAAAUCAGAAUAGUACAACAUCUUUUACAGUUGUUUGUCCUUUUUCUUAUCCAAUAUCAGCAUUUAUGCUAAGGAUGAGGACAACUGCGCAGAAUCUAGAACAUUCUAAUUUUUAACCUAUGUGAAAACCCAAUUUUACCCUCCCAUUUACUGAUUAUUGCAAUUUUGACCUAUUUUCUGACCUCAAUUCAAUCCCAACCCUCUUUAGGACCUUCAGCUAAGUGAUUAGGUUGCCUAGUGGUAUUGCCAUUCAAUUUCUGAAAUUAAACUAAAGUUUAAAUUGCUGCUUAGAGGUUCAAACCUAAAUUUAAAAUCAGUUAACCCUAAGCAAUCAAUACAUGUAAACUCAGAUUCAGACAACUAAUGAGAUUCAGCAUGCUUUGUGCAAAGAAACAUCAGAAAUCAAAAUUAACUUAUUUUAAAUAAGACUGGGCUGAUUCAGGCUAAAAGCUAAAUCAAUCCAGAUUUAGCUGAAAUAGGCAAUUAAUUAAGCAUUAACCCUAUCCUAAUUGAACUAAUGGACACUGAGAGCACACUUGCAGGAAAAAUAAAUAUGAAAGAACAAAGAACAAAAACAAAAGGGUUAUCGGAAAUUAAACGUGCUAAAACAUGGCAAAUUAAAUUCUUAAUGAUGAAGUUUAAUCAUGCAAUUAAUGAAGCUAAAUUACUUCAAACAAAUAAUCCAACCUAACUCCAAACAAGUAAAAUGUUCAAAUUAACUUAAACAAAUAACCAAUAAAACUAAUUUGAAAAAUUACAUACUCAAAGCACAUUCAAAUAAGCAGAUAAUCAGAAAUUAUCUCAAACAACCAAAGGAAAAAAUCAGAAACAAAACAAGAAAAAAAAAGAAAGAGGAAGGGUACUGUGAACAAAGAAGGGUAUGACCUAGCCAUGCUUCAGUGGUGACUUCGAAAUGGGUCGAAACUAAUGCAAAAUGAUUGCUCUUAUAAAACGCAAUCAAUUCACAUGAGUCUCGGCCCAAGACGAACAAAAUACUCCAAAAAAUGUGCAAGGUUGAACUAGCAUCUCUUCUGGACCCUUUGAUCUAACAUUCACUGAUUUUGGCAGGGUUUCUAGGGUUACUGGUAAGAGAUACGAGGUGAGGGGAGUGUGGUGGUUGUCUGGUUGGAAAUUGGACGGGUUUGAAAAGGUUUGGGUGAACUAGGGUUUGGUAUCAGAUCUAAAAUUGGAGAGAUUUGAGGGAAUUGGUUUGGGGAUUUGGAAAGGGGAGAUGACAAGGAUUGUCUGGUUAAAAUUUGGGGAGGUUUGGAGUGGCGCCGCCGCCGUGGGGCGAUUUCUGGCGACGGCGAUGGGCAGAGGUUCAAAGAGAUAAGAGAGAGGGUGAGAGAGACGAAGUGAGGGGGCCUUUGGGGGGUAAGGGUUAGUCUUGUUAGGACAGUUAUAUAUGUUUGGAGGGUUAUUACUUCCGGGCCGUUGGAUUACCAAGAUCCAACGGCUAUGAUGAAACAAAGACAAAACGGGGUCAUUUGGUGGUGGGUGAUCCUGGACCGGGUAGGCAAUUUUGGGCCUGGGUUUGGGAAUGGGUUUGGGUUAAAAUUUGGGCUGGUUUGGGGCAAAAUUAAACCAAUUUCAAAUUUAAGAGACCCUCUCUUCAAAUAAACCUUUAUUUCCUUUUUCUUUUCUUUUUCUUUUUUCUUUUUUUUUAUUAAAAUCCUAAAUUAAUCUUAAUUGUAAAAUGAACCAAUUACCUAAUUAUAAAAAUUACUUAAUCCUAAAUUAAAAGAGAAAAGUCAAUAAUCCAAAAAUUAAAAGGUAAACAAAAUGUAAAAUGAGCUAUUUUUGUGAUUUUUAUUUUUAAUAAAACAAAUAAUUGACUAAUUAAUCCUGAAAUGUAAAAACAAAAUCUAAAUGCAAUGUAUGGUAUCUUGGCAUUUUUCAUGAUUUUAAUAAAAAUUAAACGUGCACAAAAAUACAAACAAUCAAUGAAAUCCGACAAAAUUCAUAUAAAAUGGCAAAUAAUUGGACAAAAUCUAUUUUUUUGGAUUUUAUAGGAGUAAUUCAUAUAGGGAAAAAAUCACAUGCUCACAUUCACGAGCCCGCAGAUGCAACGAGUCUCCGCAUAUGCGGAUUUUGAUAGGUGGGGCAGGACUCGCAGAAGUGGAUUGGAAUCCACAAGCGUGGAUGCACAUGAGUGAAGCAUGUACCCAAAAGCGGUCCCACAGGUGUGAAUAUUGGGCCUCAGGUGCGGCUAAUCGGGUUCUUAAUUGAUUUUCAUAGAAGUAAACUUUCUUCCGCAGAAGCGGAGCCGCAAGUGCGGCUGGUAAGUCCGCAAGAGCGAAAAGGCUGGGCAAAUAUUUAAAAUCGAGGGCUUGAGUCUUCUUCUCAAUUUGAGAAGUUUCGGGUGCAAACUUAGAAAAUUUUUUAAGAGGUUUUCACCUAGAUUGAAGAGGUAAGUGAAUAUUGAUCACUUUUAUCCAUGUAUUUUGAAUACUUAUUGAUUAUUUCACCUAAUUAGUAUGAAUCUAUGUUGGAAUUUGGGGAUUUUUGACCCAUGUAUUGGAGAGUAAGAUUUGAGAGAUUGAGGGCCGAUUCGUGGUCGGCAUUAGGUGAUUUUGGUAUGUUUGGACUCAUUAUUGAAUGGGCAUUUAGAUUUUGUAAAUAUUUGUGGAUUCUGAGACUUAGGUACGAGGUUGACUUUUGGGUUUCCCUUUUGACUUUUGUUAAAGAACUUAGUUUUAUCGAAUGGAAUUGAUUCCUAUAGCUUGUAUUGAUCGUAUUAAGUUGUUUGUGGCUAGAUUCGAGUCGUUCAGAGAUCGAUUCAUGAUGCAAGGGCUUGUUGGAGUAGAGUUUGCACGGUUCGCGAUAAGUAACACUUCUAACCUUGGUAUUGGGAGUAUGAAUUCCCGAACUACGUGUUAUGUGGUUGGAAUUGAGGUGGCGCAAAUACUAAGUGAAUGGGCGUGUGGCCAUGGACGAUAGUAGUUGUGACGCAGUUGAUUUUGUUGAAUUGUGUAGUUACCUAAUCUUGUUGUUAUUCAUAUAAUCACCAUGUGUUUGAGAAAUUGAGUUGUGAUCCAUGUUAGAAAUCAUGUUUAGGCUUUAUGCUGACACUGUUGGGACCCACAAUGGUCGUUUCUGUUGUUGAGUUAUUUGCUUAAAUUGCAGUUAUGUACUUAGUUGCAUUCAUAAUUUACAUAUCAUAUCUCAAUAUCUGUUAUUAUUUAUUGUUACAUCAUGUGUCAUUGUUAGGGCUGAUUGGCAUGAGAUUUAUAAGCCCGAGAGAAUGGAGAGAUGGAUCACUGAGUGAGUCCGAGGGCCUGAUUGUGAGUGAUAUUUAUGGGGUCGAGAUGCAUGUCAUAGCAUGCCAUGUGGGCUUAUAUUAGCUCUUGGGCAAGAUCCGCACCUCUAGAGUCUGACAUACCAGCAAUAAGCGUAGGUACCAUUGAGUACCAAGUGCAAGUUUUGAGUGAUUGAGAGUGUUGUGUGAUUGGGAGUACUGAGUGAUUGAGCGUGCUGAUUGAGGUUGAAUACCCUGAGAGCAUGAGUAUAUGAGUCUGUUAAUGUGUUGCAUCACAUGUGACAUGUAUAUUUGACAUGGAAACAUAGAGAUGUGAUAUACCUCAUGUUAUCUAUUCUUGGCAUAUUUUACUAGUAUUGAGUCUCAAUUGUUGAUCUUGAAAGCAUGUCUACUUUUUUGUACCAUGUACAAGUGAUUAUGGGAUUUCUCCGAGUUAUUAUUGUCAUGUUCCUAUCAUAUUUGUACUGUUAUUAUAUAGAUUUGGAUUAUACCUAUCUGAGCUCGUCACUACUUUUAGACAAGGUUAGUCCUGUUACUUAUUGAGUACAUUGGGUUGGGUAUACUCAUACUAUACUCCGCACUUCGUGUGCAGAUCCAGGUACAUCUGGACCCGGUCGUUGCUAGAGCAUUACCUGCUUGGAGACUUUGGAGGUAGCAGCUUUGGGGUGAUGACCCAGCUGGUCGUUCUAUGAAUUUACGCCUCGAUCCCCCAUUAACUAUUUUCCCCAAGUUUAUUUCUGCUAUUUUAAUUUGUCGGGAUGUUCGGUUUUGAGUUUCGGAGAGUUUUGGGACACUUAGUCCCUAAAUGAGAGCUUAAGUGUUGGAAAGUUGACCAUAGUUGGAACAGUAUGAAGACAACCUCAGAAUGGAAAUAUGAUGGUUCCGUUAGCUCCGUUGGGUGAUUUUUAGCUUAAGGGCGUGUUUGGAUUGUGUUUAGGAGGUCCAUAGCUAAUUUAGGCUUGAAAUGCCGAAAGAUGAAUUUUUGAAGUUUCCGGUUCGGUAGUGAGAUUUUGAUUUGAGAGUCGGAAUGGAAUUCCGAAAGUUGGAGUAGCUCUGUAGUAUUGAUGUGACGUGUGUGCAAAAUUUUAGGUCAUUCAGACGAGGUUUGAUAGACUUUUUGAUCGAAAGCAUAUUUUUAGAGUUUUUGGAAUUCUUAAGCUUGAAUCCGAUGAAAAAUAGGUAUUUUGAUGUUGUUUUGAGCAUUCCGAAGGUCGGAACAAGUUUUAAUGAAGUUAUGGAAUAUGUUGGUAGGUUUGGUUGAGGUCCCGGGGGCCUCGGGAUGAUUUCGGAUGGUUGACGGAAAGAUUUUUGAAUUGGAGGUGCAACUUCAUUUUUUCUGCUGUCAUAACCGCACCUGCGAGUGUGGGACCGCAGGUGCAGAGCUGCAGAAGCGACGGAGUAACCGCAUAAGCGGAAUUUGGAGAGUUCAACAGGAACAAUAGAAGCGGUGGAAUUUCUGCAGGAGCGGUACCGCAUCUACGGAUGGGGAGUCGCAGAUGCGGAUCUGGGCCCUAAGUGAAAAGUCGCAGAUGCGACCACUAUUCCGCAAAUGCAGGACCAUAGAAGCGGUCCUAGUGCAGCCGAUGCGGAAACAGCUAGGCAGAAAUAUGAAAUUUUGAGGGUUUAGUUUCAAAAGUUGGAAAUUCGAUUUGGAGUUCGGGAGAGGGCGAUUUUGGUAAGGAAAUUGAAGAGUAGAUCAUUGGGUAACAAUUCUUUGACCUUUUCUAGUUAUAUUCCAUCAAUUUAUAUUUUCAAAAUCCUCAUACUCUCACGAGUUCAUGCAUACCAAAAUUAUCCAAAUCUAAUGGGCCCGAGGGGGGUUUUGGUCAUUUUACCUAAUUUUGCGUAUUAGCUUAGAAUGUCUUUGUAGAAUCAGUUACUUGAAGUGUUAUUUACAUUAUGCAAAUGAAUUGAAUAGAUUUGGGCCAUUUGGAGUCAAAUACUCAUGGAAAGACCGUGAUUUCGGGUUUAUUAUUGAGCCGGUUCGAGGUAAGUGGCUUGCCUAACCUUGUGUGGGGGACCAUCCACUUAGGAUUUCGUAUAUUUGGUAAUUGAAAUGCCUUGUACGUGAGGUGAUGAGUUCGUACUUUUGCUAAUUGUUGGAAAUCCGAUUUUCUUUAAGUAAUUACUAGUAUGUUUCCUUUCCUAUUCUUAUUACUUGCACUAUUAAGCAUGUUGUUAGGUUAGGAAAGCAUGUCUAAGUGACUUAAUUGCUUUACUUUCUCAAACUACCUUACCUGAAUUCUGUGCAGCAUGCUAGACUAGAACUACUUGUUCGCCUUAAUAUGAAAUUGCCAUUUCUGAAUAUUUUCCUGUUUCUGCUGUGUAUUUACAUUAGGACUACGGAUGUAGGAUUCCGGUAGCUCCCUCCUUGCCUAUUUAAUUUGGGACUACGGAUGUGAGAUUUCGGUAGAUCCCCCUGCAAAGUUAUAUGAAACUACGGAAUGCACCGGGUAGAUUCCCUCCGUACUGGGUAUUUACAUUUGGGACUCCGGUAGAUCCCCGCGCACUAUGAUUUGGACUACGGGAUGGGAUCCCGGGAGAUCCAUUGGAUAUGUACAUAUGGGACUACAGGACGGUAUCCUGGGAGAUCCUUGGUUGUUAUUUUGGUGCUAAGUCGCAUUUCUUUCCGUGUUUUGCCUUGUCUCUGUAAUAGUUGUUAUUGCCCUUUUUAUAUCCUUUGUUACUUUCACCGCUAUAUUUAUUUAUACUAUUCUGUUUUACACUGUCAAACUUUAUAUUUUAUUUAACCUCAGUAGGGCCCUGACCUUCCUCGUCACUACCCAACCGAGUUUAGGCUUGACACUUACUGAGUACCGCUGUGGUGUACUCAUGCCCCUUUUGUGCAUGUUAUUCAUGUGCAGAUCCAGGUACUGCUACUCGGUCCUAUCACCCUUGAGGCGAGGCGACUGCUCCAGCGACUUCGAGGUAUGUCUGCCGCGUCCGCAAAUCGAGGAGUCUCUUUCUAUUCUAGCUUUUAAACAUUUGCCCUUCUGUAUUUCUUUUCCUUGUUAGAUAUUCUGGAGUUAGAGUACUGUGUCGCGAUCCUUAGCUUGUGCUUCAUGGGUUUCCGAGUCUUGGAAGUAUGUAUUGGUUUGAGAGUUAAAUAUUAUGUAUGCCGAGCAGCACUUUUAAACACUGUUUUAUCACUCUUCAUUCUGUUUUAAUUUGUUUUUAUUCCGUAUUUUGGUUAUCUUCUGCAAUUUAGGCUUACCUAGUCAUAGAGGACUAGGUGCCGUCACGAUGGUUCACCGAGGGUGAACCGGGAUCGUGACAAGUUGGUAUUAGAGCUCUAGAUUCAUAGGAGUCAUGGAUCACAAGCUGGUUUAUUUCAGUCCGCUGAUCGGUACGGAGAUGUUUGUACUUAUCUACGAGAGGUUAUGUAACUAUUUGGAAAAGUUCCACUUUAUUUGAUUUCCAUGUCGUGCGAUAUUUUGACAUCACAAUUCUAUACUUCUGUCAUCUAUUCUCUCAUAGAUGGUGAGGACACGUGCUACCCGAGAUGAUCAAGCACCCGCGCCCCCUACUGCAGACGUUAGAGGCUAGGGCCAGGGUAGAGGCCGAGGACGUGCAUGUGGUGCAGCCAGAGCACCUGCACGAGCUGUCGUCAAGGUACCACCAACAGUUCCAGACGGAGUCCAGGCACCUGACACGCCUACUGCUACUACUACUCCAGCGCUUCAGGAGACUUUGGCACAGUUUAUGAACAUGUACACCACUCUGGCUCAGGCAGGGUUGCUUCCCCUUGUUGCGGCUACAUCUCAGGCCGGGGGAGGAGCACAAACUCCCGCCUCCCGUACUCCUGAGCAGCGAGUGCAUGUUGAGCAGGUCCCUGAGAUUAUUCUUAUACCGCUUGCAGUUCCAGUUCAGCCCGAUGGAAGGGCAUCGACUUCCAAGGAGGAGCAGCUGAGGCUUGAGAGGUUCAAGAGGUACAAGCCUCCUGUAUUCAGCGGUCUAACAUCAGAGGAUGCUCUGGAAUUUCUAGAUGAGAGUUACUACAUUCUCUGUACCAUGGGUAUAUCAGGAUCGAGCGGGGUUAGAUAGUCUGAAUGAGGCUACUUCACUGACUUGGACUCAGUUUUCAGAUCUGUUCCUGAGAGAGUAUGUUUCUCAGAGCCUCAGGGACUCAUGGCAUGCUGAGUUUGAGCAUUUGCACUGGGUNNNNNNNNNNNNNNNNNNNNNNNNNNNNNNNNNNNNNNNNNNNNNNNNNNNNNNNNNNNNNNNNNNNNNNNNNNNNNNNNNNNNNNNNNNNNNNNNNNNNNNNNNNNNNNNNNNNNNNNNNNNNNNNNNNNNNNNNNNNNNNNNNNNNNNNNNNNNNNNNNNNNNNNNNNNNNNNNNNNNNNNNNNNNNNNNNNNNNNNNNNNNNNNNNNNNNNNNNNNNNNNNNNNNNNNNNNNNNNNNNNNNNNNNNNNNNNNNNNNNNNNNNNNNNNNNNNNNNNNNNNNNNNNNNNNNNNNNNNNNNNNNNNNNNNNNNNNNNNNNNNNNNNNNNNNNNNNNNNNNNNNNNCCUUAUUCCCAGCAUCAGGUCUAGCAUGUCUCUUGAGUUGGAUAUGGAUAUUUCUUAUCAGCAGGUGGUGAACAUUGCUAGGAGGAUUGAGGGUAUGCAUGCUAGGGAGAGAGAGGAGAGGGAGGCCAAGAGGUCUCGAGAGUCGGGCCAUUUCUCUAGUGCCCGUUCCCCAACAGCAGGUCGUCAUGGUAGGGGUUAUAUGAGUCACCCUAUUCAUUCAGCUCUUCCAGCAGCCAGUGGUAUUCCAGCUCCUCCUAGACCUUAUGAGCCUUAUUAUGUACCUCCGGUAUCUAGCGUGCCUCCUGUGCGGCAUGCUUUCAGAGGUCAGUCCAGCAGACUUGGCCCGAGCAAGUCACAGCCACCAUGUCCUCCCAGAGCUUAUUUUGAGUGUGGUGACACCCGUCAUAUAGUGAGGGAUUGCCCCAAACUUGGGAGGGGUUCACAUCCACAGGCUUCUCAGCAACAGCGUGCCCCGGAGAGUUCUCAGGCUAUGGUUACAGCUCCAUUUGCUACCGCACCUUUUCAGCCAGCCAGAAGUGGAGGUUGGGGAGGUAGAGGUUGCCCUAGAGGGGGAGGCCAGGCCAGAUACUAUGCCCUUCCUGCCCAUACCGAGGCUGUUGCCUCCGUUUCUAUCAUCACAAGUAUUAUACUGGUUUGUUACACAGAUGCAUCGGUUCUAUUCGAUCUAGGCUCCACUUACUCUUAUGUGUCUUCUUAUUUUGUUCUGCAUGUGAGUGUAUCUUGGGAUUCUUUGAGUUUCAUUGUUUAUGUUUCUACUCCUGUGGGAGAUUCUCUUGUUGUGGACCACAUCUAUCGGUCGUGUUUGGUUGCUCUUAGUGGUUUUGAGACCAGAGCCAAUUUAUUGUUGCUCCGCAUGGUAUAUUUUGACAUUAUCUUGGGCAUGGACUGGUUGUCGCCCCAUUAUGCUAUUCUUGAUUGUCACACCAAAACUGUGACGCUGGCUAUGUUAGGUGUACCGCGUAUUGAGUGGAGGGGUACUUUAGAUCAUACUCCUAGUAGAGUUAUUUCUUUUCUUAAAGCUCAGGGUAUAGUUGAGAAGGGGUGUGACGCGUAUUUAACUUAUGUGAGAGAUGUCAGUAUUGAUACCCCUUCAAUUGAUUCAGUCCCAAUUGUACGGAUUUUCCCAAUGUGUUUCUUGCUGAUCUUCCAGGCAUGCCGCCUAAUAGAGAUAUCAAUUUUGGCAUUGAUCUAUUGCCAGGCACUCAGCCCAUUUCUUUUCCUUCGUAUCAUAUGACUCCUCCUGAGUUGAAGGAUUUGAAGGAUCAGUUACAGGAAUUGCUUGAUUAGGGUUUUAUUCGGCCUUGUGUAUCACCUUGUGGUGGUCCUGUCUUGUUUGUAUAGAAAAAGGAUGGUUCUAUGCGUAUGUGUAUUGAUUAUCGCUAGUUGAACAAGGUUACAGUGAAGAACCGUUAUCUUUUGCCUCACAUUGAUGAUCUGUUUGACCAGCUUCAGGGCGCACGAGUGUUUUCUAAGAUUGAUUUGCGCUCAGGUUACCAUAAGUUGAAGAUCUGGGAUCUAGAUAUCUCGAAGACUACUUUCAGGACUGGGUAUGGUCAUUACGAGUUCCUUGUUAUGUCAUUUGGGCUGACCAAUGCCCUAGCAGCCUUUAUGCAUUUGAUGCACAGUGUGUUCCGGCCGUAUAUUGACUCGUUCGUUAUUGUCUUUAUUGAUGAUAUUUUGGUGUAUUCCCAGAGUCGGGAUGAUCAUGAGCAACACCUGAUGACUGUGGUUUAGACUCUGAGAGAGAAGAAGUUAUAUGCUAAUUUCUCGAAAUGUGAGUUCUGGUUGGAUUAAGUGGCAUUCUUAGUCCACGUGGUAUUGAGUGAGGGUAUUCAGGUGGAUCCGAAGAAGAUAGAGGUCGUGCAGAGUUGGCCCAGACCAUCCUUAGCUACCGAGAUCCGUAGUUUCCUUGGUUUGGCGGGCUACUACCGUCGUUUUGUGGAGGGUUUUUCAUCGAUUGCAGCCCCUAUGACCAGGUUGACCCAGAAGGGUGCUCCGUUCCAGUGGAUAGAGGAGUGUGAGGUGAGCUUUCAUAAGCUCAAGACAGCUUUGACUACAGCCCAGUUUUGAUAUUGCCUACAGGUUCAGGGUCUUAUACGGUCUAUUAUGAUGCCUCAAGGAUUGGCCUCGGAGCGGUGUUGAUGCAGGAUAGUAGGACGAUUGCCUACGCGUCUAGACAAUUGAAGAUACAUGAGAAAAAUUACCCUGUUCAUGACCUUGAGUUAGCUUCCAUUGUUCACGCCUUGAAGAUUUGGUGCCAUUAUUUAUACGGGGCUCCCUGUGAGAUUUAUACUGACCAUCGGAGCUUGCAGCACCUGUUCAAGCAAAAUGAUCUAAAUUUUUGCCAGAGGAGGGGGUUAGAGUUGCUAAAGGACUAUGACAACACUAUUUUGUAUCACCCGGGCAAGGCCAAUGUGGUGGCCGAUGCUUUGAGUCACCGAGCAGAGAGUUUGGAGAGUUUGGCUUAUUUACCAGCAUCGAACAGACCUAUGGCGAUGGAUGUUCAGGCCUUAGCCAGCCAGUUUGUGAGAUUGGAUCUUUCGGAGCCCAAUUAGGUUCAAGCUUGCGUGGUUUCUCGGUCUUCCUUAUUUGAUCGUAUCAAGGAGCGGCAGUAUGAUGACCCUCAUUUGCUUGUCCUCAAGUACAAGGUUCAACACAGUGAUGCAAGAGAUAUGACUAUUGGUGAUGAUGGGAUAUUGAGGAUGCAAGGUCGGAUUUGUGUACCCAAUAUUGAUGGGCUUCGGGAGUUGAUGUCUGGAGGAGGCCCUUAGCUCGCGGUAUUCUAUUCAUCCGGGUGCCGCGAAGAUGUAUCAGGAUUUGAGGCAGAACUAUAGGUGGAGGCAGAUGAAGAAAGAUAUAGUUGGAUUCGUAGCUUGCUGUCUCAACUGUCAGCAGGUGAAGAGCUUCAGCAGAUAGAGAUUCCGGAGUGGAAGUUGGAGCGGAUCACCAUGGACUUUGUAGUUGGGUUCCCACGGACUUUGAGAAAGUUCGAUGCUAUUUGGGUGAUUGUGGAUCGGCCGACCAAGUCUGCUCACUUUAUUCCUGUGUGUACUACUUAUUUCUCGGAGUGGUUGGCGGAGAUCUAUAUCCGAGAGAUUGUUUGUCUGCAUGGUAUUCCGGUUCCCAUCAUUUUAGAUAGAGGUACUCAGUUUACAUCACGGUUCUGUAGAGCCGUUCAGUAUGAGUUGGGAACUCAGGUGGAGUUGAGUACAACCUUUCACCCUCAGACAGACGGACAAUCCGACCGCACUAUUCAGAUUCUUGAAGAUAUGCUACAUGCGUGUGUGAUCGAGUUUGGAGGGUCUUGGUAUCAGUUCUUGCUAUUGGCGGAGUUUGCUUACAACAAUAGCUAUUAGUCCAGCAUUCAGAUGGCACCGUAUGAGGCUUUAUAUGGGAGACGGUGUAGAUCCCCGGUGGGUUGGUUUAAGCCGGGUGAGGCUAGAUUGUUGGGCACAAACCUGGUUCAGGAUGCUUUGGAGAAGGUUAAGGUGAUUCAGGACAGACUCCGUACAGGCCAGUCUAGACAGAAGAGUUACGCGGACCGGAAGGUUCGUGAUGUUUCCUAUAUGGUUGGAGAGCGGGUUCUGCUUCGGGUUUUGCCUAUGAAGGGCGUUAUGAGAUUUGGGAAGAAAGAGAAGUUGAGUCCUAGAUUUAUUGGCCCUUUUGAGAUAUUGAGGCAUGUUGGGGAGGUUGCUUAUGAGCUUGCCUUACCUCCCAGCUUGGCAAGAGUUCAUCCGGUAUUUAAUGUUCCGAUGCUCCGUAGGUAUCACGGUGAUCCGUCACAUGUGUUGGAUUUCAAUUCAGUCCAGUUGGACAAGGAUCUAUUUUAUGUUGAGGAUCCAGUGGCAAUAUUAGACAGGCAGGUUAGAAAGUUGACGUCAAAGAAUAUUGCUUUGGUAAAGGUUCAGUGGCGGGGUCAGACGGUCGAGGAGGUGACCUGGGAGACCGAGCAGGAUAUGCGCAGUCAUUACCCUCAUCUUUUCACCACUUCAGGUAUGUCUCUAUGCUCGUUUGAGGAAGAAUGAAUGUUUAAGUGUAGGAGGAUAUGACGACCCGGCCGAUCAUUCUAAGAAUUUACGCUCCGAUCCCCCAUUAACUACUUUCCCCAAGUUUAUUUCUGCUAUUUUGAUUUGCUGGGAUGUUCGAUUUUGAGUUUCGAAGAGUUUUGGGACACUUAGUCCCUAAAUGAGAGCUUAAGUGUUGGAAAGUUGACCGUAGUCAGAACAGUGUGAAGACGGCCUCGGAAUGGAAAUCUGAUGGUUCAGUUAGCUCCGUUGGGUGAUUUGGGCUUAGGGGCGUGUUUGGAUUGUGUUUAGGAGGUCCGUAGCUAAUUUAGGCUUGAAAUACCGAAAAUUGAAUUUUUGAAGUUUUCGGAUCGAUAGUGAGAUUUUGAUCCGAGGGUCGGAAUGGAAUUCCGUAAGUUAGAGUAGCUCUGUAGUGUUGAAUGUGACGUGUGUGCAAAAUUUCAGGUUAUUCGGACGAGGUUUGAUAGAUUUUUUGAUCGAAAGCGUAUUUUUAGAGUUUUUGGAAUUCUUAGGCUUGAAUCCGAUGAAAAAUAGGUGUUUUGAUGUUGUUUUGAGCGUUCCAAAGGUUGGAACAAGUUUGAAUAAAGUUAUGGAAUAUGUUGGUAGGUUUGGUUGAGGUCCCGAGGGUCUCGGGAUGAUUUCGGAUGGUUAACAGAAAGAUUUUUGGAAUUGGAGGUGCAACUUCAGCUAUUCUGCUGUCAUAACCGCACCUGCGAGUGUGGGACCGCAGGUGCGGAGCCGCAGAAGUGGCGGAGUAACCAUAGAAGUGGAAUUUGUAGAGUUUAACAGGAUUCGCAGAAGUGAUGGAAUUUCCACAGGAGCGGUACCGCAUCUAUGGAUGGGGAGUCGCAGAUGCGGAAUCUAGGCCCUAAGUGAAAAGUCACAGAUGCGAUCAUUGUUCUGAUACCGCCGAUGCGGAAACAAUUGGGCAGAAAUAUGAAAUUUUGAGGGUUUAGUUUCCAAAGUUGGAAAUUCGAUUUGGAGCUCGGGAGAGGGUGAUUUUGAGAGGAAAUUGAAAAGGAGAUCAUUGGGUAACAAUUCUUUGACCCUUUCUAGUUAUAUUCCAUCAAUCUAUAGUUAGUUUUCUCAUUUAAUUUUGGAUUGGAGAUGAACAUUGGGGAAAAGUUGGAAAAAAGUUCUUAGACCAAAAAUUCGACUUUUUAUUGGGAAUUUGACCUUAGAUUUGGAUAAUUUUGGUAUGCAUGAACUCGUGAGAGUAUGAGGAUUCUGAAAAUAUAAAUUUUACCCGAUUCCAAGACGUGGGUCUGAGGGGCGUCUGUUACUUGAAGUGUUAUUUCAAUUAUGCAAAUGAAUUGAAUAGAUUUGGGCCAUUUGGAGUUGAGUACUCGUGGCAAGAGCGUGAUUUCGGAUUGAUUAUUGAGCUGGUUCGAGGUAAGUAGCUUGCCCAACCUUGUGUGAGGGACCUUCCCCUUAAGAUUUGGUAUAUUUGGUAAUUGAAAUGCCUUGUACGUGAGGUGACGAGUGCGUACUUGUGCUAAUUGUUGGAAAUCCGGUUUUCUUUAAGUAAUUACUAGUAUGUUUCCCUUCCCGUUUUUAUUACUUGCACUAUUAAGCAUGUUGUUAGCUUAGAAACGCAAGUCUAACUGACUUAAUUGCUUUACUUGCUUAAACUGCCUUACUUGAAUUCUGUGCAGCAUGCUAGACAAGAAUUACUUGUUCGCCUUAAUAUGAAAUUGCCAUUUCUGAAUAUUUUCCUGUUGCUACUGUGUAUUUACAUUGGGACUACGGAUAUGGGAUUCCGGUAGCUCCCCCCUUGCAUGUUUAUUUUGGGACUACAAAUAUGGGAUUCCGGUAGAUCCCCCUGCACAGUUAUAUGGAACUACGGGAAUGCACCUGGUAGAUUCCCCUAGUACUGAGUAUUUACAUUUGGGACUACAGAACGAGAUUCUAAUAGAUCCAUGUGUACUAUGAGUUGGACUACGGGACGGGAUCCCGGGAGAUCCAUUGGAUAUGUACAUAUAGGACUACAGAACGGUAUCCUGGGAGAUCCCCGAUUGUUAUUUUGGUGCUAAGUCGCAUUUCUUUCCAUGUUUAGCCUUGUCUCUGUAAUAAUUGUUGUUGCCCUUUUUAUAUCCUGUGUUAUGUUUACCGUUGUAUUUAUGUAUACUGAUAGGGCCCUGACCUUCCUCGUCACUAACCCGACCGAGGUUAGGCUUGACACUUACGGAGUACCGCUGUGGUGUACUCAUGCCCCUUUUGCGCAUGUUUUUCAUGUUCAGAUUCAGGUACUGCGACUCAGUCCUAUCACCCUUGAGGCGAGGCGAUUGCUCCAGCGACUUCGAGGUAUAUCUGUCGCAUCCGCAGACCGAGGAGACCUUUUCUAUUCAAACUUUUAAACAUUUGCCCUUCUGUAUUUCUUUUUGUUUUUAGAUAUUCUGGAGUUAGAGUACUGUGUAGUGAUCCUUAGCUUGUGAUUCAUGGGUUUCCGAGUCUUGGAAGUAUGUAUUGGUUUGAGAGUUAAAUAUUGUGUAUGUUGAUCGACACUUCUAAACACUAUUUUAUCACUCUUCAUUCCGUUUUAAUUGUUUUUAUUCCGCAUUUUGGCUAUCUUCCGCAAUUUAGGCUUACCUAGUCGUAGAGGACUAGCUGUCAUCACUAUGGUUCACGGAGGGCGAACCGGGGUCGUGACAUUUGGCAUCCUCAGACCUCGGCUCUCCUUCUUUUCAGUUUAUUUUGCACCGUUCUAUCUAUUUAAAUAGUUGUAUUAUAAGUCUUGAUUUUAUUGUCAUUAAGUUGCUCAUGUACUAGUGACACCCGGAUUUUGGGAAUUUUGUUCUUUAGUUGCAGUAUUUCUUAUCGGUUCUUUAUGAGAUUUUCACUAUUAAACUUUUUUCAUCUUGUUUCAACUUAAAAUGCGUAGUUAUUUUGUGAUUGUCGGCUUGACUAGUACCGUAAUAGGCUCCAUCACGACAUGUUGAGGUUUGGGUCGUGACAAGUUGGUAUUAGAGCACAGGUUACAUAUGUCUUAUGAGUCAUGAGCAGGUUUAGCAGAGUCUUGUGGAAUGGUACGGAGACGUUUGUACUUAUCUUCGAGAGGCUACCAAACCAUUAGGAAAAACUUCACUUUCUUGUAUUCUUGUCGUGCAAAUUAGUUGAUUCUGGAAACUAAACUUCUACUAUUAUAUUCUCACACAGAUGGUGAGGACACAUGCCACCGGAUCGGGGGGACAACCACCAGUACCACCUGCUAGGGUCGUGAGAGACCGGGGCCGCAGUAGAGGUUGAGUUACAGCUCGUACAACAACUAGAGCAGCACCCGUGGAGCCACUAGUUGCUCCAGCGCAGGAGAAGAUACCAGAUGUGGUUGAGCUGGUUGGACCAGAUGAGGCACCAGUUGUGCCCAUUGUGAUUCCAGGCUUUCAGGAGGCUUUGGCCCAGAUAUUUACUAUAUUCACUAGCCUUGCAUAGGCUAUUUCAGUUCAUACUGCACUAGCCACUUCUUAGGCCGGGGGAGGUGCUCCGACUCCAGUUGCCCGUACACCAGAGCAGGUGGUUUAGGGACAUUGAUUUUGAUAUUGACUUGGUGCGGGGCACUCAACCCAUUUCUAUUCCUCUGCAUCGUAUGGCACCAACAGAGUUGAAGGAAUUCAAGAGCAACUUCAGGAGCUUGUUGAUAAGGGGUUUAUUAGGCCUAGUAUGUCGCCUUGGGGUGCACCGGUUCUGUUUAUGAAGAAGAAGGAUGGUACUAUGCGGAUGUGCAUCGACUAUAGGCAGUUGAACAAAGCUACAGUAAUAUAUAUAUCAUUUGCCACACAUUGAUGACUUAUUUGACCAGCUUCCGGGAGCUAGAGUGUUCUCUAAGAUUUAUUUGAGGUCGGGGUAUCACCAAUUAAAGAUUCGGUACUCUGAUAUUCUAAAGAUGGAAUUCAUGACCCGCUAUGAUCACUAUGAGUUCUUUGUGAUGUCUUUUGGGCUGACCAAUGCCCCAGUAGUAUUCAUACAUCUGAUGAAUAAUGUGUUCCAAGCAUAUCUUGAUUCAUUUGUCAUAGUAUUUAUUGAUGAUAUUCUGGUGUACUCACAUAGCCAGAAGGAGCAUGCAUAGUAUCUGAGGAUUGUACUAUAGACGUUGAGGGAGAAGCUUUAUGCUAAGUUCUCCAUGUGUGAGUUUUGGCUCAGUUCGAUGGCGUUCUUGGGGAACAUGGUGUCCAAUGAGGGGAUCAAGGUGUAUCCGAAGAAGAUUGAUGUGGUUUAGAGUUGGCCCAGAUCAUCUUCAGCUACUGAGAUUCGGAGUUUUCUCGUCUUGGCCGUAUAUUAUCGUCGCUCCAUGGAGGAUUUCCCAUCCAUUAUAGCGCCUUUGACUAGGUUGACCCAGAAGGGUGCUCUAUUCAGGUGGUCGGAUGAGUGUGAGGCGAGCUUUAAGAAGCUCAAUACUACCUUGUCCACAAAUCCAGUUCUAGUUUUGCCUUCAAAAUCGGGUUCUUACAUAGUGUAUUGUGAUGCUUCUUGGAUUGGUAUUGGGUUUGUCUUGAUGUAGGAUGGUAGAGUGAUUGCUUAUGCUUCACUCUAGUUGAUGCCUAAUGAGAAGAUUGCCUCGUUCAUGAUUUGGAGUUGGUAGCCAUCAUUCGUACAUUGAAGAUUUGGAGGCAUUAUCUCUACGGCGUGUGUUGUGAGGUAUAUAUAGAUCGUCAGAGUCUGCAGCAAUUGUUCAAGCAAAAGGAUCUAAAUUUGAGGCAACGGAGAUGGUUGAAGCUGCUAAACGACUAUGAUAUUACCAUUUUGUAUCAUCCAGGAAGGCUAAUGUGGAGGCCGAUGCCUUGUGUAAAAAGAUGAUAAUAUGGGUAUCCUUGCAUACAUUCUUGUUAGUGAGAGACUACUUGCGUGAGAUGUUCAGGACUCGACAUUCGUUAGGUUGGAUGUUUCGGAGCCUAGUCAGUUUUUAGCUUAUAUGGUUUCUCGGUCUUUCUUAAAUGAUCGCAUUAGAUAGCGUCAGUAUGAUGACCCCCAUUUGCUUGUCCUUAAGGACAUAGUUCAGCACAUUGAUUCCAAGGAGGUUUCUAUUGGGGAUGAUGGGGUGUUGCACAUGCAGGGUCUGAUUUGUGUGCCUAAUGUGGAUGGGCUACGUGAGUUGAUUCUUAAUGAAGCCCACAGUUCACCGUACUCCAUUCAUCCGAGUGUCAUGAAGAUGUAUUAGGACUUGAGGCAACACUAUUGGUGGAGGAGAAUGAAGAAAGACAUGGUGAAGUUUAUAGCUUGGUGCUUAUCAAUAGGUGCAGUACGAGCAUCAAAGGCUAGGCGAUUUGCUUCAGAGGCUUGAGAUUCUUGAGUGGAAAAGGAGCGUGUCACCAUGAACGUCGUAGUUGGGCUCCCACAGACUUUGACGAAGUUUGAUGCUAUUUGGGUGAUUGUGGACCGAGUGACUAAAUUUGCACAUUUCAUUCCAGUUGGGACUACCUAUUCUUCAGAGCGGUUGGAUGAGAUCUAUAUCAGCAAGAUUGUUUGCCUUCACCGUGUGCCGGUGUCUAUUAUUUUAGAUUAGGGAACGCAGUUCACAUCACACUUUUAGAAAGCAGUGAUGCGAGAGUUAGGCACACGAUUUGAGUUGAGUAUAACAUUCCACCCUCAGAUGGACGGAUAGUUUGAGCGUACCAUUUAGAUAUCGGAGGAUAUUCUACACGCUCGUGUCAUGGAUUUUGGGGGUUCUUGGGAUCAAUUUCUACCGCUUGCAGAGUUUGCCUACAACAACAACUGCUAAUCGAGUAUUCAGAUAACUCUAUAUAAGGCCUUGUAUUGGAGGUGGUUUUGGUCUCCGAUUGUUUGUUUUGAGCUGGGUGAGGCUAGGCUAUUUUGUACUAACUUGGUUCAGGAUGCUUUGGAAAAGGUUUAAUUCAAUUUGGGAAUGACUUCGCACGACAUUGUCUAGACAAAAGCGUUACGCUGAUCGGAAGGGUCGUGAUAUUGCCUACAUGAUAGGGGAUAAGGUAUUGCUUAGAGUUUCGCCCAUGAAGGGUGUUAUCAGGUUCAUGAAAAAGGGCAAGUUGAGCCCUUGGUAUAUUGGCCUUUUAGAGGUGCUUGGGAGGAUUGGAGAGGUGGCUUACAAGCUUGCAUUGCCACCUAGUUUAUCGAGCGUUCAUCUAGCGUUUCAUGUUUUCAUGCGCCAGAAGCAUUUUGGUGAUCUAUCUCAUAUUUUAGACUUUAGCACAGUUCAGUUAGAUGGGGAUUUGACUUAUGAUAUGUAGUCGAUGGCCAUUUUGAAUCGGCAGGUUUGAAAGUUGAGGUAAAAGAAUAUAACUUCAGUGAAAGCAUAUUGGAUAGGUCAACCAGUCGAGGACGAUACUUGGGAGACCGAGUGAAUGAUGCAAAACAGAUAUCCAUACCUAUUUGAGACUCCAGGUAUGAUUCUAGACCCAUUCGAAGACAAACAUUUAUUUAAGAGGGGGAGAAUGUGACGAGCCGACCGGUCGAUUUGAGUAUUGUAUCCCCGUUGCCCCAUUUAUUACUUAUUCUAUUUUCGUUUGUUGUUAUGUGACUUUAUGGGGGUUGUUGGUUUGGUUCCAUGGAUGUUUCAAAAUGAAUUAGGACACUUAGUCCCAAGGUUGGAAGCCUAAACUGAAAAAGUUGACCAGAUAUUGACUUAUGAGUAAAUGAUUCUAGAAUGGAGUUUUGAUGGUCCUAAUAGAUUGGUAUGGUGAUUUUGGAGAUAGGAGUGUGAUCGAAUAUUGAUUUGGAGGCUCGUAGAUGAUUUUGGCUUGAAUUGGCGAAAGUUGGAAAAGUUGAAGUUUAGCGGGUUGAGAGAUUUGAUCGAGAGUGACUUUUUUGUUACCGGGCUUGGAUUUUGGUUCUGGAAGUUGGAAUAGGUCUAUUGUGUCAUUUAUGACUUGUGUGAAAAUUUGAGGUCAAUCGGAGUGGAUUUGAUAGGUUUCAAUAUCGAUUGUAGAAGUUGGACAUCCAUUAGUUUCAUUAAGCUUGAAUUGGGGUGCGAUUUGUGUUUUUGAUGUUGUUUGACGUAAUUUGAGGCCUCAACUAAGUUUGUAUUGUAUUUUAGGAAUUGUUGGUAGGUUUGGAUAUGGUCCGAGGGGCCUUGGGUGUGAUUCGAAUGUAAUCGAAUUAAGGUUUUGACUUGAGAAAAUUGCGGAAGAGUUUCAAGCCUGGUGCAAUCGCACCUGCAAAGAAAUGGUCACAGGUGCGGGACAAUAGAAGCGAGCAUGGGGUCGCAAGAGAGGUCUUGCAUUUGUUGGAAGUGGUCGUAGGUGCGAGGAGUCUUCCGCGUCUGCGAGCCCAGAAAUGCGACGAGUCUCCGCAGAUGUGAAUUUUGAUAGGUGGGGUGGGACUCGUAGAAGUGGAUCGAAAUGCGCAGGCGCGGAUACACAUGAGCGAAGUUGGGACUGCAGAAGCAGUCUCGCAGAUGAGAAUAUCGGGCCGCAGGUGCGGCUGGUCGGGUUCUUUAAUGAUUUUCGUAGAAGCGGAGCCGCAUGAGCAAAAAGGCUAGGCGGAUAUUUAAAAUCGAAGGUUUGAGUCUUCUUCUCAUUUUAAGAGUUUUAGGGUGCGCACUUAGGCAAUUUGUUAAGAGGUUUUCAUCUAGAUUGAAGAGGUAAGUGAAUUUUGAUCGCUUUUAUCCAUGUAUUUUGAAUACCCAUUGAUUAUUUCACUUAAUUAGCAUGAAUCUAAGUUGGAAUUUGGGGAUUUUUGACCCAUGUAUUGGAGAGUAAGGUUUGAGGUAUUGAGGGUCGAUUCGUUGUCGGGAUUGGGUGAUUUUGGUAUGGCUGGACUUGUUAUUGAAUGUGUUUUUGGAUUUUGUAAAAUUUUAUUGGAUUCCGAGACAUGGGUCCGAGGUUGACUUUUAUACUUUUGUUAAAGAACUUGGCUUUAUCCAAUGGAACUGAUUUCCAUAGCUUGUAUUGAUAGUAUUUCUUUAUUUGUGGUUAGAUUCGAGUCGUUCGGAGGCCUAUCCGUGAGGCAAGGGCUUGUUGGAGUAGAGGUUGCGUAGUUCGAGGUAAGUAACAGCUCUAAACUUGGUACUAAGGGUAUGAAGCCCCAAACUACGUGUUAUGUGGUUGGUGUUGAGGUGAUGCACAUGCUAGGUAACGGGCGUAUAGGUGUACACCAUAGUAAUUAUGACCCGGUUGAUUCUGUGGAAUUGUGUAGUCACCCAAUCUUGUUGUUAUUAAUGUAAUCACCAUGUGUUAGAGAAAUUGAGAUGUGAUCUAUGUUAGAAAUCAUGUUUAGGCUAUAUACUGGUGUCACACCUCCUUUUUUACUACACCCCGGAAUGGUAUUAGGGAGUUUUUCUAUUUUAAGUGAUAAUCGAAACAGGAUUAUUUAUUUAAAAAUCAGAGUCGCCACUUGGGAUAUUUAGGGUGUCCCAAGACACCAAUUUAAAAUCCCGAAUCGAGAAAAGUUGACUCUAUUUACGGUCUGCGAACACAGAAAUUCGGGUAAGGAAUUCUGUUAACCCGGGAGAAGGUGUUAGGCAUUCCCGAGUUCCGUGAUUCUAGCACGGUCGCUUUGAUCAUACUUGGUUUACUAAAUUAUUUACUUACUCAUUUUGGAACCUAUGUGCUUUCACCUCUUAACCACUUUUAAAUUAAGUAAAAUAUCUUGAAAACGGGUCACGCGUACGUGUAACCAUUUGUUUGGCGCGUCAAAAAUCAUGUCAUGCGGACGUGUCCACAAUUAGUGAUCCUUUAUUAUUAUGAAGAAAAGUUUGGCCAAAGUUGCGCGGAUGCAUACUCUGGUUUGGUUUAUAGAAAUCGUAAUCAUGUCACGCGAACGUGUCCACAAUCACGAUAGUAUAUUCAACGUACAUCAACAGCACUUGAACUCCCAUCAUAAUAUGACACCACGAAACUGAAGGUUCCCUCUAAUUUUACAUGUCAAUGUAUAUAAAUCUGACUUCAACUGAUAAUAAAGGACUCAAUUAUCCCAGAACCUAUACAUAGUUGAAGAUCACAUAAUCAGAUCAAUUAUCAGACCCACACUCAUCCAUCCAUCAUGAAAUAACAUGAUAUUAAAUAGGACAGGUAAAUUGAAGAGUUCAAAUCUCUUCCAGCAACAGACUCAUAUCAAUAGCCUUAAAGCUAUGAUCUUUUUUUCGUUCCACCCAUUUUUCUCAAGAUUAAUAUUAAAUAAACAAGGGAAACCAAAUAGGGCUUUUUCAAAUAAUUAUCAGAUCUAAAUUUCAAAAUAUUUGUCAUUUUUAUAUCUAUGUUACGAAAUUAAUACAAGGUCCAUGUACGAUAAAUGGUGGAUGACACACCUCGGACUGCAUACACUAAAGUUAAUUUAACGGCCUAUUAGCAACACUUUUAUUAUUAAGAAAGCUUGUUCAAAGUUGCGCGAACGCAUACUCUGAACUAAUUUUUAGAAUCGUAAUUAUGUCACGCGAACGUGUACACAAUCACAAUUGUAUUUUAAACCCGGCUAAAGGCUUUUAUACGAGUGUUCACUUUUAUUUCAUAAAAACUUCGAUACCAAAACCUAUUAGUGCAAUAGCAGCCUGUCGCAAUUCAUAAGGCCAAAUCCACAUGGCUUCCAUAAUUCUAAUUUACCACAAAUGGAAUUCCAAUGCUAAAGAACAAAGUAAUGUCUACUGCUACAAUUUAUAAGACAUGUGAUCUUAGCAAUUUAUGGGGACCCCCUUAAAGAUAAAGCAAAAGUACAUUUCAUGGUGACACAAAUUAAUUAACCCAUUCUUCUUCAAAGUUAAAAAUCAACGUGAAUAGUUUUUUUUAUUUAUACAAAAUCUUCUUACAAAGAAAAAAAGAAAAAAAAAAUAUCAUUUUUCUUACAAUUAAAUCUCUUAGUAUUUCCAAUGCACCAAAUUAACUAAUUACUAACUUCUAAUAGCAAAGAACUUUUAACAAUGAACUUCUUAAUACUAACUUUAGAUUCUAAGAAAAAGACAUCUCAAGCUAAAUCUGGCAAAUGUUAACAGUACCAUUGGAGGAGAAUGAUUACAACUAAGUAAGUCUAGGAACCUUGACUAUAGUCACAUAAAUGUAAAAAUGUCCUCAAGGAUUAAUAUCAUGGAGAAAACUCAUCGCAACACAUAAAAAUAACAGUCCGAAUAAUAGAAGGAGAAGAGGAAAAAUGAACCUCAAUGAACCGUUUAAUUGACUCUGUUCGGAAGUGAAUACAAAGUGAUCUAGCAGCGAAUACUUGAAUCACAACCACAAAUUCUUUGCAUCUUCGAUCCAAAUAGAAACCUUGACACUAACCCAGAUGGAACAUGGAAUCGGCAAACGGAGAACUCGAACUCUACUGGACUCAAACCACCAAAACGGUUGAACGCACCGGAAUGCGCAAGCAGCUGGAAUAGCGUGAAGAAGAAGGAGCAGCGAUGGGUGGUGUGUUGAAGGUGACGAAUGGGUUCUCCGUGCUGCUGCCCUUAGGUUUUAGGCUGCUGCCGAUUUUUUCAGAUUUUUCCGGCCUUAGGUCCCUUAGCGUUAGGUCUCCAUCUUUGGGUGUUAGCUCUUGGUUUUUCUGGAGAAGAUGAAGAACAGUGGGGGUCUCGUUUUUGAUUUGCGGAUGACUUAAUGAAGACGCAGUAGCAGCUCUCCAAGGUUUUGGAAGAAGGAGGAGCUCAACGUUUGUUUUUGCUCAUUCUUAGAUCUAGGAUCGUCCAAAUUCCAGAAAACGGCGCUGCAACUUUUUAGGUCUCUUUUUUGCCUUCUAGCGUGUAUUUUCAAC